GAUGAACGCUGGCGGCGUGCCUAAUACAUGCAAGUCGAGCGAACGGACGAGAAGUUGGCGUCUCUGAUGUUAUCGGCGGACGGGUGAUUAACACGGGGAUAACCUACCUAUAAGACUGGGAUAACUUCGGGAAACCGUGUCUAAGACCGGAUAAUAUUUUGAACCGGAUUGUGCAAAAGUUAAAUACGGUCUUUCGGUCACUUAAAGAUGAAUCCGGCCUGCAUUAGCUAGUUGGUAAGGUAAAGGCUUACCAAGGCAAGGAUGGAAACCCGGCCUGAGAGGGUGAAUGCCCAGCUGGGAAGUGAGAAACGUCACACACUCCUAGAGGAGGACGCAGCAGGGACUCCUCCGCAAUGGGGGAAAGCCUGACGGAGCAAAGCCGCGUGAGUCAUGAAGGUCUUCGGCUCGUAAAACUAUGUUAUUAGGGAAGAACAUAUGUGUAAGUACCUGUGAACAUCUUGACGGUACCUAAUCAGAAAGCCACGGCUAACUACGUG
rnacentral:rRNA from 1 species